rnacentral:lncRNA from 1 species
AGUGGUUCUGUCUGUUUCGGUGCGUGGAGCCCUGUCUGGCACAGAGCAUGAACUCACAUGACAACAAACUGAAACAGUAACUGAAUGCAAUCACUGCACAUGUGUCGCUUAGAAACGGGAGGAAAUGAGGAAGAAACAGGAGAUCACCACAGGCCUAUAUAGAUGGGCACAGACAGCAGCCACACAGGUGGGAUCUGGAAAGAAUGAGGAUCCUGGAGUCACCUGGAACGGAUCAAGGCCUGGCUUCUUCAGGAACUGGCAUCAGUCUACAAAUAAUAUAAAUCCUGCCUGCAUUAUUCAGCAGAAGAGCCAUGACAUUGACGCUCUUUCUAAAAUGGCUCUUCCUUCAAAGGUAUGUAGACUUCUGUAUUAUACAUUUAUUUAUAACCAUCAAAACUCUGCUUUCUUAUUUGGGCCAUCAUGUGCCAAAACUAGACAUGAUUCAUAAAUGACAAGAAAGAAAAAGGAAAUACCAAUGACCAGAAAAGUGUGGAUAUUUACUAUUUUAGGUACUAUUACUUUUAUAAUUCAU